rnacentral:rRNA from 1 species
UACGUAGGGUGCAAGCGUUGUCCGGAAUUAUUGGGCGUAAAGAGCUCGUAGGCGGUUUGUUGCGUCGGCUGUGAAAUCCCGAGGCUCAACCUCGGGUCUGCAGUCGAUACGAGCAAACUAGAGUGUUGCAGGGGAGACUGGAAUUCCUGGUGUAGCGGUGAAAUGCGCAGAUAUCAGGAGGAACACCGGUGGCGAAAGCGCUCUGCGUAGGCCGCAACUGACA